CGAACGGGUGAGUAACGCGUGAGUAACCUGCCUUACACAAGGGGAUAGCCGUUGGAAACGACGAAUAAUACCCUGUGAAACUAUCACUUCGCAUGAAGCGAUAGUCAAAGUGUUAGCGGUGUAAGAUGGACUUGCGUCUGAUUAGCUAGUUGGUGAGAAAAAAGCCCACCAAGGCAACGAUCAGUAGCCGGCUUGAGAGAGUGUACGGCCACAUUGGGACUGAGACACGGCCCAG
rnacentral:rRNA from 1 species